rnacentral:rRNA from 1 species
CACGUAGGGGGCGAGCGUUGUCCGGAAUCAUUGGGCGUAAAGAGCUCGUAGGCGGCUCGGUAAGUCGGGUGUGAAACCCCCAGGCUCAACCUGGGGACGCCACCCGAUACUGCUGUGGCUAGAGUCCAGUAGGGGAGUGUGGAAUUCCCGGUGUAGCGGUGAAAUGCGCAGAUAUCGGGAGGAACACCAGCGGCGAAGGCGGCUCACUGGCCCGGUACUGACGCUGAGGUGCGAAAGCGUGGGGAGCAAACAGG